GAUCAUGGCUCAGGACCGAACGCUGGCGGCGUGCCUAACACAUGCAAGUCGAACGGAACUGUUUUGUAAAGAUUUCUUCGGAAUGAAUUUGAUUUAGUUUUAGUGGCGGACGGGUGAGUAACGCGUGAGUAACCUGCCUUCAAGAGGGGGAUAACAUUCUGAAAAGAAUGCUAAUACCGCAUGAUAUAUCGGAACCACAUGGUUUUGAUAUCAAAGAUUUUAUCGCUUGAAGAUGGACUCGCGUCCGA
rnacentral:rRNA from 1 species